rnacentral:rRNA from 1 species
AUGGCUGCUCCAAGAGCUGCAGCAGGAACUUCAGCAGCUGCUCCAACACCACCUCCAGCAGCUGCUCCAAGAGCUACUCCAUCUUCUGCCAGCACAAUUUCCACAUCAAGGGCUUCUGCUGCUCCAAGAUCUGCAGCUCCAAGAGGAAGGGCUGCAUCAACAAGGACUACACCAGCACCCAGGUCUUCAUUUGCUCCUCCAAGGCCUUCCACUGAUCACAGGGCUAGAAGUUCUUCAGCUGCAGGUAGAAGGGUCACCAAGAGGCCAAACGGGCUCAAGGAUUAUUUCUAUGCUAGUGGCAACUAG